UACGUAGGGUGCGAGCGUUAAUCGGAAUUACUGGGCGUAAAGCGUGCGCAGGCGGUUUUGUAAGUCAGAUGUGAAAUCCCCGGGCUUAACCUGGGAAUGGCAUUUGGGACUGCAAGGCUCGAGUGCGGCAGAGGAGACUGGAAUUCCUGGUGUAGCAGUGAAAUGCGCAGAUAUCAGGAGGAACACCAACGGCGAAGGCAGCUCUCUGGGACGUUACUGACGCUGAGACGCGAAAGCGUGGGGAGCAAACAGG
rnacentral:rRNA from 1 species